GCCAGUGUGGCAUAGUGGUUUGAGUGUUAGACUACAACUCUGGAGACCAGGAUUUGAAUCCCAGCUCAGCCA